rnacentral:sRNA from 1 species
UACCAGAUGGAAGUGGUUGCGACGAGAC